rnacentral:rRNA from 1 species
AUUGAACGCUGGCGGCAGGCCUAACACAUGCAAGUCGAACGAGUGGCGGACGGGUGAGUAAGGGCUGGAAAACUGCCUGAUGGAGGGGGAUAACUACUGGAAACGGUAGCUAAUACCGCAUACCAUCGUAUGUGCCCAAAUGGGAGUAGCUAGUGGGGGGGGUAAAGGCGCACCUAGGGGACAAUCCCUAGCUGGUCUGAGAGGGUGACCAGCCACACUGGGACUGAGACACUGCCCAGACUCCUACGGGAGGCAGCAGUGGGGAAUAUUGCACAAUGGGCGAAAGCCUGAGGCAGCAAUGCCGGGUGUUUGAAGAAGGCCUGCGGGUUUUAAAGUACUUUCAGCGGAGAGGCGUUACCCGCAGAAGAAGCACCGGCUAACUCCGUGCCAGCAGCCGCGGUAAUAC